rnacentral:rRNA from 1 species
AUUGAACGCUGGCGGCAGGCCUAACACAUGCAAGUCGAGCGAGCGGCGGGCGGGUGAGUAAUGUAUGGGGACUGCCCGAUAGCGAGGGAUAACUACUGGAAACGGUAGCUAAUACCGCAUACUAUCGGAUAACCCAUAUGGGAUUAGCUAGUGGGUGAGGUAAUGGCCCACCUAGGCGACGAUCCCUAGCUGGUCUGAGAGGUUGAUCAGCCACACUGGGACUGAGACACGGCCCAGACCCCUCCGGAGGCAGCAGUGGGGAAUAUUGCACAAUGGGCGCAAGCCUGAUGCAGCCAUGCCGCUGGGAUGAAGAAGGCCUUCGGGUUGUAAAGUACGUUCAGCGGGGAGGCGUUACCCGCAGAAGAAGCACCGGCUAACUCCGUGCCAGCAGCCGCGGUAAUUC